GCCUUCGUAGCUCAGUGGUAGAGCGCAUCACUAGUAUCUAAUUGGUCUAUGAUGAGGUCGUCAGUUCAAUUCUGGCCGAAGGCA